rnacentral:lncRNA from 1 species
UCGAGGACCCAAAACUAAAAGUAGUCCCUGCUCUGCUGAGCCCCGUGGGAUGAAAGGUCUAGCUACAUCUGACCAAGGAAAACAGGGAAUUUCAUGAGUUCAAACAGCUGAGGAACCAAGGUCAUAGCUGUUCAUUGGCACAGCUGGGUCCAGAACCCCAAAGUGGCCAUCUGUUCCUUCCUCCAUUAUUUGAUCUCUGGCUUUCUCCCUGCAGGCUUCACCCACAGAUGACAGAUCUUUUCUAGCAUCGAAGAGGACUGAGCUUUUCCAGGGUCCCAUUCUAGCCUCUGGACCUGAGUCUUGGCAGCACUGACUGGUUACCUGCAAGCCACACAGUCAUCCCUUAACCUAUCACUGAAGUCAAAGAGAUGUGAUCUCCCGAUUGAUUGGCUUGGCCAGGUCACAUGCUCACCUCUGAGGUUGAAGUGAGGUGAGGUCUGCAGUUACUGUUUGAGAGAUUCCUGCAACAUUUCUGGAAGCCCCAGUGAGAUCUCCUUCUCCAUGGCCCCAUGGUAGAGACGGGCUGCUGCUCCCUGGUCUCUGAGAACACUAAAGUCUUCUGGAACUGAGAAGCACAAGGGGACUGCGGGACCAAGACCUGGAGUCUCUGGGAAACAUACAUCCUAAACAGGACUUCAGGGUCCUCUCCCAGUGGACAAGGGGACUGCGGGACCAAGACCUGGAGUCUCUGGGAAGCACACAUCCUAAACAGGACUUCAGGGUCCUCUCCCAGUGGACAAGGGGACUGCGGGACCAAGACCUGGAGUCUCUGGGAAGCACACAUCCUAAACAGGACUUCGGGGUCCUCUCCCAGUGGACAAGGGGACUGUGGGACCAAGACCUGGAGUCUCUGAGCGGAAGACCAGAUGAGACUGGGCUGGAUGUCCAGGCCAGGUAAAGACAAAAAAGGGAGAUAGGCAGGAAGAGCCAGCAAUGGCUAGAUCGCCUUGCAGGAUAUUAUAUCUGGAGCCUUGAAGGGAUACUCAGGUAGCACCGGUCCCCAAGGAAAAGGCCUUGAUGAGAUACUCAGGUGGAUUAGUCUUGGAAGAAAUAGACAGACUAAGCAUUUAAAAGGGGGAUGUAUAACUUCUAAGUGAAUGGUGAAUGACUGUGUAGGUGACUGUAAUGCUCCCGCAGCUCCGUGGCUACAGAAUUUGAUUGGGCCUCAACCUCAGAUCGGCUGAAGCCCUUUCAAAUGAACAGGCACUCCCACUCACAAUAGGAGGUGACCAAGUACAAGGUUAUACAUGUGGCUCUAAGGAAAGACCUCUGAAAUUGCCACAUGGUGUCUGGCCAGGCAGAUGCCUGCUUGAGGGAGAAGCUGGUCUCCACCUCACCCUAUUACUACACAGGGUUAGGCACACAUAAACUCCCCCAGUUUCCAGAUAGGGAAUUUUUCUCACCAUGGGAUUUGUAAAAUCCUGAUGUGAAACUCACACAAUCCUGCAAAGACCUUUGUGAUGGUUUGUAUAUCCUUGGACCAGGGAGUGGCACCAUCUGAAGGUGUGGCCUUGUUGGAAUAGGUGUGACCUGGUUGGAAUGGGUGUGUCACUGUGGGUGUGGGUAUAAGAUCCUCACCCUAGUUGCCUGGAAGUCAGUCUUCCACUAGCAGCCUUUGGAUGAAAACAUAGAACUCUCAGCUCCUCCUGCGCCAUGCCUGCCUGGAUGCUGCCAUGCUCCCACCUUGAUGAUAAUGGACUGAACCUCUGAACCUGUAAGCCAGCCCCAAUUAAAUGUUGUUUUU